CAGUCGCCGCGGGAAUACGGAGGGUGCGAGCGUUACCCGGAUUUACUGGGCGUAAAGGGCUCGCAGGCGGUUUCUUAAGUCCGUUGUGAAAGCCCUGGGCUCAACCUGGGAAUUGCAGUGGAUACUGGAUCACUAGAGUGUGGUAGAGGAUAGUGGAAUUUCCGGUGUAGCAGUGAAAUGCGUAGAGAUCGGAAGGAACAUCUGUGGCGAAGGCGACUAUCUGGGCCAACACUGACACUGAGGCACGAAAGCGUGGGGAGCAAACAGGAUUAGAUACCCCAGUAGUCCCUGUCUCUUAUAC
rnacentral:rRNA from 1 species